UCAGAAAAUUUUUGUUGAGUGAGAAAGCCCUCACUCGAGAAGGUGGAAGAGGGACAAAUGGAGAGGACCGAGUUUUCAAUCCUGUUUAUGCUGGGCUUGUGGGUGGCCACAGAGUUGAGAGCUGGAAGUCCAACCAAGAGAGCAGAUCAGGAAAGACCCAAGAAACAUCCCAGUUGGUCUCCUUCUCUCAUGCUUUGACCUGCUCAUGACUGCAUUAAAUCUACUCGCUGGCCCAUGAGGCCUCAGUGAAAACUCCUGUUUUUCUUCCAAAGCUGGGAUAUAAGCCCACUUAUUACCCUCCACUUAGCUGGCUUUCCACUGUCCCUUCCUAAUUUUCUCAGUUUGGGGAUGGAAAGACUGCCCUGGGCUCUGUAGAGAGCAGGUCUGCAUCUUAGGCCUGCUCAGGCCCAACUCUGGUCCUUACACAAGUCACUUCCUCUGAGACUCAGUUUCCUCUUGAACGAGACAGAAAUAAUGAUGUAGGCCAUACCCACUCACCUCAUGGGCUGUGGAGAGGACUGAAUAAUUGAUGGUAAAGUGCUUCACACACUGUAAAACCCUCUGCACAUGCGUGUUGGCAUUAGACAGAAGGAGUCACAUCUACUCCAUCCAGUGGUAGAUUUUGCCUGUGAGCUUGUUGCUGCUCAUCUUCAGGUAGAGGGGCUCCAUUUUAACUGGUCCAGGAGAAAAGCCCUUUUCCAGUUGGUCUCUGUGUACGAGUUUAAUCUUAAUUAUGAGGACCAGCCACUGCGGGGCACGACUUGAUUUUCCAUCUCCACAUGGAGCAUCAGAACUCAAGAGUUCUUUAAAAAGGAAACUAUUAACACCAUUUGGUAGAUGGAGUGUGCAUAUGGAUUUGAGGCAUUUGGCCAAAACUUAUAUUUUUCUCUGAGGCCUUAGAAGCUUCUUCUGAGGACACUGGAAACGCUAUGUCUUAAAGCUUGAAGCUUCCUCAGGGCACUUCACAAAUGCUUUGGUAUUUUGCAUUAUAUUCUUAUAGCAAAUAAAAUAUUUCAGAGACAUUAAUUGAAUAUAUGUAGUUUUGAGCACACCUUGGCUCUUUCCAGCAUCAAGUGGCUCUGUCCUCACACUGCCUCUCCCUCACCACAUGUACUCGGACCGCAAAUCACAGUCGAGGCCCCACCCCUCUCUCCCGUCAGCAAGGGUGACCCAGCGGUCAUGAGCACACCAGCAGAGGGAGGAUGGUGUGGGAGGCAGCCUUCUGGAGGGCCCUCAAUGAUCCCCACAUCCUGGUAUUCUCACCCUUGGGUGAUCCUCACUUCUAAUGAAUAGAAUAUGGCAGAAGCAGUGGGGUAUCAUUUCCAAGAUUAGGUUAUAAAAAGACUGUGGUUUCCAUCCUGGGUACCUGAGCAGCCUCUCUCUCUCUCUCUCGCUCUCUCUCUCGGAUAACUCACAUCAAAAGCAGCCCAAUGAAGAGGACCACAUGGCCUUAAUGAGAAUAUUUGGGCAUUCUCACAACUGUGAAGUUUCCUUCCUCUCUCCACAUCAAAUCCAGCUUCUGUGACAUUGCUCCUGAGAAACAGAACGAGAGAACAGCAGAAAACACAUGGGCUGGUUAUCCAGGAAAGCUUGUGCUCUCUCUGCAGUUCCUCAUUUAUUGGAUUAUGCGUAAGACCAGGCUGAGCUAUCAGGAUAGAUUUCUCUUGGAGAUGUAGAAUGGACCCUCGUAGUGGUGAUGUUCCAAAACAUUAACUGAUUUGAUCACGUCACUCCUCAAUAAUCGUCAGUGGUCCCAAGUGACCUACUAAAUAAAGUCCAGAUUUUGUAGUUUGGAAUUCAAUGACCUGCACAAAAUCAUGAGAGGCAAUACAGCAGACUGGCCUUUGGUGUCAGUCCCAGCUGAGCUUGAAACUCUGCUGACCAUGGGUAAAUCACUGAACCUUUCUGACCCCAUUUGGACAAUAAGGGCACCUUUCUUGUCAAGCUCAUGGUUAAAUGAGAGAUUGGAUGGAAU
rnacentral:lncRNA from 1 species